UUAACAGCCCUGGAGCCUAAAGUCUCCAGUUUUUGUCCCAGAGCAGAUACAGCAAGAUUAGCACCAGUGCAAACUUCCUCCAUCUCUCUUCUCCAUUGCAUGUCUGCCAUAAUCAGGAUGGAGGAGAAAAGAGAGGGUAGGUAUCAUUCUUCAUGCUGAGUCAGUCCUUCAUUUCU
ensembl:misc_RNA